CGAUUUCUUGGUCCUGAGGUUUGUUGUACCUUCAAUUUUCUGAAUCGUUUGAGCUCUAAAGUUUUACUUUCAAUGUGCUUUUAAGCCUCGUCUACCUUCAAUUUUCUGAAUCUUUUGAGCUCUAAAGUUUUACUUUCAAUGUGCUUUUAAGCCUACUGGAGUUGAGGUUAUACAAGAUGCUGGAUCAAUGAAUUAGCAUUGUCUUCUUCAUGUUUACCCAAAUCUCUUGAAUUGUCCAGAAAUGUACAGCUCAGACCCUGCUUCUUUUUCUGCAUGAAGUGUAUCUCUUUUGCUAAACCCUAAUUUAACAGAAAAGACCCA
rnacentral:lncRNA from 1 species